AAGGCGCAUACUCCGCCACUGUGCGACAGUUUACAGGAGUGCUUUUCCAACAGGUCGCGGUGUAUGCAGUUCUGAAGAAGUGCCCGUGCCAAGUAACGCGCCACAAGUGGAUCGUUUCUGCAAACCGUGGCUCGUGCUUCCCACCGAGCGAUACAAGCAUCGCUGGUGCCUUUGCAAACCAGGUUUCGUUCGAAAUGCCUGGGUACAGUGCAUAAGCUCUCGAGAAUGCUACACUUGCACGAACGAGAGGUAUGCGGACUUCACCAGGUGCUCGCCUGCAUGUCCAAUGGUGUGUGGCCGACCAGCAGACCGUGACUGCAAGACAUUCGAGUGCAACACUGGGUGCGCCUGCGCACCAGGCUACGUGCUUGACCCCUGGCGACAAAAUACCUGCGUACCGGUAUCCUG